GAGAGAGAGAGAGAGAGAGAGAGAAUUAGAGAAAAAACUUUUCCGAACUUCUCAUUCCGCUUUCGGUUGCAGACUUCAGAGUCACCGUGAUCAGCACCAGAAGGAAAUGCCAGUGGACCAAUCGGUCUCAGGAUAGGUACUCACCUGAUAUUGGGGCGAAGGCUACAUGUCACUCUGAUUCCAGUGAUUGAUGCCAACAUCCCUCUUUUGUGGUCUCCUUUACCCAGAGGCAUUCCCCUCUGAUGGAUCAGAAGGUACCAAGGACCGAGAUAGUAGAACUCGAAAACAAGGAAGAGCAAGAAAAUUCCUAUUUAACCUCCCCCCCAUCUCCACUCUGAGUCCUGCUCUAUUAAGUGUCAGUUUCACAGGACUGAGGAUACAACUCGGCGGUCAAGUGUGCACACAAGACUCUUGGUUAAAUCCCUGUCAUUGUAAAACAACAACAACACUUGAUAUAGAACAAGAGAGCCCUCCAUACCACCUACAGAAGCAUUGACUAAAGGAAAUCUGCCUCCAGACACAGAAGCAGAAAACAGAAAGAGUUCGGGCUUGUUCAACAGAGAUGCGAUUCUUCUUCUGAGUGUUUUCCAUCUCUGCUGGCUUGAGUCUGUGCAUGGCAAAGAAGGCAGCGCAGAGCUGAACACCGGCCUCCUGGACCCUUCAGUGCAACCCUCAUGAAAUGCUAAGAAUUCGGGUAGAGAAUGAAAUGCUAAUAUUCAGUUAGAGACCCCACUUAUUCUUGCAUGGGAGGUGGAUUUAAUAUAAAUCAUACUAUAUGCGUUAGAAGCAAGCAAUUUUUUUGGGGGGGGUUCUCUUUAUUGGACCAGGUUUGUGUUAAGUGAAUGUGUUAAAUGUUUAAAUACCCAAAA